ACCUCGAUGCUCACGAUUGAUGGCUCAGUGAGGCGUCCGGACUGGCCCAGAGAGGUGGGCAACUACCACUCAGGGCCGGAAAGCUCUCCAAACUCGGUCAUUUAGAGGAAGUAAAAGUCGUAACAAGGUCUCCGUUGGUGAACCAGCGGAGGGAUCAUUACCGAGUUUACAACUCCCAAACCCCUGUGAACAUACCUUAAUGUUGCCUCGGCGGAUCAGCCCGCGCCCCGUAAAACGGGACGGCCCGCCAGAGGACCCAAACUCUAAUGUUUCUUAUUGUAACUUCUGAGUAAAACAAACAAAUAAAUCAAAACUUUCAACAACGGAUCUCUUGGUUCUGGCAUCGAUGAAGAACGCAGCAAAAUGCGAUAAGUAAUGUGAAUUGCAGAAUUCAGUGAAUCAUCGAAUCUUUGAACGCACAUUGCGCCCGCUGGUAUUCCGGCGGGCAUGCCUGUUCGAGCGUCAUUUCAACCCUCAAGCCCCCGGGUUUGGUGUUGGGGAUCGGCUCUGCCCUUCUGGGCGGUGCCGCCCCCGAAAUACAUUGGCGGUCUCGCUGCAGCCUCCAUUGCGUAGUAGCUAACACCUCGCAACUGGAACGCGGCGCGGCCAUGCCGUAAAACCCCAACUUCUGAAUGUUGACCUCGGAUCAGGUAGGAAUACCCGCUGAACUUAAGCAUAUCAAUAAGCGGAGGAAAAGAAACCAACAGGGAUUGCCCUAGUAACGGCGAGUGAAGCGGCAACAGCUCAAAUUUGAAAUCUGGCUUUCGGGCCCGAGUUGUAAUUUGUAGAGGAUACUUUUGAUGCGGUGCCUUCCGAGUUCCCUGGAACGGGACGCCAUAGAGGGUGAGAGCCCCGUCUGGUUGGAUGCCAAAUCUCUGUAAAGUUCCUUCGACGAGUCGAGUGUG
rnacentral:rRNA from 1 species